rnacentral:rRNA from 1 species
CCCUUAGAUGUCCGGGGCCGCACGCGCGCUACACUGAGUGGAUCAGCGGGUCAGGUUGCGCGAAAGCGUUUCCUAAUCUUUAAAUCCGCUCGUGAUGGGGAUUGACGGUUGCAAUUUUCUGUCAUGAACGAGGAAUACCUUGUAAGCGCGGGUCAUCAUCCCGCGCUGAAUACGUCCCUGCCCUUUGUACACACCGCCCGUCGCUCCUACCGAUUGAGUGGUCCGGUGAGGCUUUGGGAUCUGAGCGGAAAGAGCGUUUCGCUGUUUCUGCUCGGAAAACUCAGUCGAACCUUAUCAUUUAGAGGAAGGAGAAGUCGUAACA